GAAGGGCCAUUUAAUUUUAAAGAUAUAAAACAACGUCGUUUUUUCAGUCAAUAGGCUUUAUCCUCGUCGAAGAAGAAGAAGAUCAGAUAAUCGAGAUUCACAGUCCGCCAUUGGCAAGCAUCUUAGCUCCCCCUCAUCACUCCACGACCGCCGUCGACAAGCUCUUCCCCUCCGUUCUGACUCACCGUCUUAGUCAACCGGAGAUAUGCUUUCUUCCGUCUCAACAUCCGCUCCUUCCUCCUUCGCGCCUCGGAUCCCUUC
rnacentral:lncRNA from 1 species